rnacentral:rRNA from 1 species
GACAGAGGUGCCGAGCGUUAGGCGGAAUCACUGGGCUUAAAGCGUGUGUAGGCGGAUCUGUAAGUACCUUGUGAAAUCCCACGGCUCAACCGUGGAACUGCUUGGUAUACUGCGGGUCUGAGCCACCUAGGGGCAAGUGGAACAAACGGUGGAGCGGUGAAAUGCGUAGAUAUCAGGAGGAACACCUGUGGUGUAGACAGCUUGCUGGACCACUUCUGACGCUGAGACACGAAAGCGUGGGUAGCAAACAGG